CUUCGGGGGACGAUAACGGCGUCGAGCGGCGGACGGGUGAGUAAUGCCUAGGAAAUUGCCCUGGUGUGGGGGAUAACCAUUGGAAACGAUGGCUAAUACCGCAUAAUACCUACGGGUCAAAGAGGGGGACCUUCGGGCCUCUCGCGUCAGGAUAUGCCUAGGUGGGAUUAGCUAGUUGGUGAGGUAAUGGCUCACCAAGGCGACGAUCCCUAGCUGGUCUGAGAGGAUGAUCAGCCACACUGGAACUGAGACACGGUCCAGACUCCUACGGGAGGCAGCAGUGGGGAAUAUUGCACAAUGGGCGCAAGCCUGAUGCAGCCAUGCCGCGUGUGUGAAGAAGGCCUUCGGGUUGUAAAGCACUUUCAGUCGUGAGGAAGGURGUGUAGUUAAUAGCUGYAUUAUUUGACGUUAGCGACAGAAGAAGCACCGGCUAACUCCGUGCCAGCAGCCGCGGUAAUACGGAGGGUGCGAGCGUUAAUCGGAAUUACUGGGCGUAAAGCGCAUGCAGGUGGUUUGUUAAGUCAGAUGUGAAAGCCCGGGGCUCAACCUCGGAAUAGCAUUUGAAACUGGCAGACUAGAGUACUGUAGAGGGGGGUAGAAUUUCAGGUGUAGCGGUGAAAUGCGUAGAGAUCUGAAGGAAUACCGGUGGCGAAGGCGGCCCCCUGGACAGAUACUGACACUCAGAUGCGAAAGCGUGGGGAGCAAACAGGAUUAGAUACCCUGGUAGUCCACGCCGUAAACGAUGUCUACUUGGAGGUUGUGGCCUUGAGCCGUGGCUUUCGGAGCUAACGCGUUAAGUAGACCGCCUGGGGAGUACGGUCGCAAGAUUAAAACUCAAAUGAAUUGACGGGGGCCCGCACAAGCGGUGGAGCAUGUGGUUUAAUUCGAUGCAACGCGAAGAACCUUACCUACUCUUGACAUCCAGAGAACUUUCCAGAGAUGGAUUGGUGCCUUCGGGAACUCUGAGACAGGUGCUGCAU
rnacentral:rRNA from 1 species